ensembl:lncRNA
CCUGCCUACUUCCUGUUUGCCUCUUGGCGUUCCUCUCACCCACUUCCUCCCCUUUCACACCUUAACCAUGGAGUGGAGGACAAAGCUGGGUAAUGUCUGUCUCCAUCUAUUGUUCCUCCUUCCUGAGUUACCCCCUGCUACCUAACAGAUGCCUGUUUGUCUUUGGAAACUUUCUCAUAAGCUUCAGCUUUCUGUGGAGACUUCAGUCCAUCUUGCAUUCUUCGUCCCACUCUCAUAAAGUUAAUCAUUUACUUGGAGUUGCCUCUGCAUCUGGUACAUGCAUUCAUUAUUGUCUUUCUUCCCAUCUGUUACUAUUUGCUUGUACAUCUGAUAAGUAGCAUCCACUCAACACUAUGUCAGACAUUGUUCUAAGCAUGUAUAUUAACUCAUUUGAUUUCCGUAACUCUAGGAGGUAGAUACUGUUAUUGUCCCUCUUCACCCCUUUAUCUUUACAACUGUUAAUAUUGUCUUCACAAUAUCUACCUGCUUCACAACAAUCCUCUUAUGGUAUUAGUCUUAUUAGUAUCCCUAUUUUACAGAUGAGAAAACUGAGACAGAGUGGUUAAAUAACUUGCCCACUACAAUAGCUAGAAAGUAGCUGAGCAGAGAUUCAAACCCAGACAGCCUGGCUCCGGAGCUUGGCUCUUCGUCACACAGUGUACUUUCUGCAAAUACAAUAGGGACUCUCAGGAGACAGCAAGGAUAUGUUCUGCUUGGAGAAGAGUGAGCCUCAUGCCAGUCACAAAAGACUGCAUUGACCAAAGGCAUUGAAGCUCAAGUUGAGAACACAGAAUGACAAAGCCAUGGGUGAAGACCUUUGUUCUGCCUGACAAAAGAGAAGUGUAAAAAUCGGACAUCUACAAUCCCCCGAGAUGCACCCUCCUUCUAUCUUCUCUCUGCAGCCUCUGCAAAUUCUGCUCUUUUCUCUUCCUGAGGCCAUCGCUUUCCACUGAUUUUUAGCUGGAUAGGAGAAGAGGAAGGGAUCGCUGUUGUGUUUCGGUUGGCAGCUCCCUGUGAGGGUCACGGUGAGCAGCGCUGUGGAGGAGCCGCCCGCAGUCAGAGCCAAGUCUGCUCAGCCGCGGCCCCUCCCCGCGCGUCAGAGCGCGGGAUGACGCAAGCAGGGACGCCCUUUUCAGUUUUUUCUUUAUGAUACUGGGGAUUGAACACAAGUCCUUUGCACUGAACUACAUCCCUAGACCUUUUAUUUAUUUAUUUAUUUUUGAGAUAGGAUCUCAUUAAAUUGCUAAGUUGGCUAGGCUGGGCUCAAACUUGCAAUCCUCCUGCCUCAGCCUCCUAGAAUGCUGGAACUAUAAGCAUGCACCACCACAUCUGGCUGUAUGAUUUCCUUUUUCUUUUCUUUUUGGUACCAGGGAUCGAACUCAGGACCUUGGGCUUGCGAGGCAGCCAAGGUGCCACUGAGCUAAAUCCCCGGCCCUUUUCUUUUCUUUUUCCUUUUUUUCUUUUGAGACAGAAUCUCACUAUGUAGUCUGGACUAGGCUCAAACUCACUAUGUAGACCAGGUUGGCCUCGAACUCAUGGCAGUCCUCCUGCCGCAGCCUCCCAAGUGCUGGGAUUAUAGGCGAGUGCCACCACACUAGGCUAUAUGAUUUCUUAUAGCUGUGAAUGUACAGGUUUAAUGACUGUCACAUGUUCUGGUUCUGCC